AGGCUACACAGGUUCCUAUGGGA
rnacentral:siRNA from 1 species